AAUAGAUACCCUGGUAGUCCACGCCGUAAACGAUGAGUGCUAAGUGUUAGAGGGUUUCCGCCCUUUAGUGCUGCAGCUAACGCAUUAAGCACUCCGCCUGGGGAGUACGGUCGCAAGACUGAAACUCAAAGGAAUUGACGGGGGCCCGCACAAGCGGUGGAGUAUGUGGUUUAAUUCGAAGCAACGCGAAGAACCUUACCAGGUCUUGACAUCCUCUGACAACUCUAGAGAUAGAGCGUUCCCCUUCGGGGGACAGAGUGACAGGUGGUGCAUGGUUGUCGUCAGCUCGUGUCGUGAGAUGUUGGGUUAAGUCCCGCAACGAGCGCAACCCUUGAUCUUAGUUGCCAGCAUUCAGUUGGGCACUCUAAGGUGACUGCCGGUGACAAACCGGAGGAAGGUGGGGAUGACGUCAAAUCAUCAUGCCCCUUAUGACCUGGGCUACACACGUGCUACAAUGGAUGGUACAAAGGGCUGCAAGACCGCGAGGUCAAGCCAAUCCCAUAAAACCAUUCUCAGUUCGGAUUGUAGG
rnacentral:rRNA from 1 species